CCGGCGACGCGCAGGCGGCCGGCGGCAGCGUGUGGGGCACGCUCGGUGUCACGAUGCUGAAGGUCGCGGCGUUCAUCGCGCUGAUGCUGGU
rnacentral:tRNA from 1 species